AUAAUGAUGAAUGCACAAAUACAAAGAUACGAAUGAGCCAGAGCCAACCUUAUAUUCCUGCAGUAAAUGCCACUGGGUUUACUAUUUUCUUAUCAAGCAGUUGGAAUUUAUUUGCUAAUUCGUUCCUUCCUAGCUUCCUUCUUUCCUUCUUUUUUUUUUUUUUUAAUGGAGUCUUGCUCUGUUGCCCAGGCUGGAAUGCAGUGGCAUGAUCUUGGCUCACUGCAUUUUUUAAUUUUUAAGUUUUUUGUAGAUGGGGGGCUUGCUAUGCUGUCCAGGCAGGUCUCGAACUCCUGAGCUCAAGUAAUCCUUUUGCCUCCUUUCAAAGUGUUGAGACUCCAGGCAUAAGCCACUUUGCCCAGUUGCUACUAUUAUACUUAGCACAUUUUUUUGUUUGUUUGUUUUUUAAGACAGUCUUACUCUGUCUCCCAGGCUGGAGUGCAGUGGUGUGAUCUCGGUUCACUGUAACCUCCUGCCUCAGCCUCCCGAGUAGCUAGGAAUACAUGCACAUGCCACCACGCCCAGCUAUAUUUUUUUAGUUUUAGUAGAUACAAGGUUUCACCGUUUUAGCCAGGAUCAUCUCGAUCUGACCUUGUGAUCCACCUGCCUCAGCCUCCCAAAGUGCUGGGAUUACAGGCAUGUGAACCACCAUACCUGGCUUACUUAGUGCAUUUGUACCAAUAUUCAUUACCAAUAUAAUUCUGUAGUUUUUAAUGACUGUACUGCUUUUAUCAGUGAUAAAAACGAUACAUAUAUACAUCUUGUACUGCAUCAUAAAAAGAUUUAGCAAGAUUUGCUUCAUUGUUAAUACUCUGAAAGUAUUUAUGGAGAAUUAGGACCAAUUGGACCUUGAAAAUGUCAUGUAAAGAUGUCUGGCUGGGCAUGGUGGCUCAUGCUUGUAAUCCCAGCACUUUGGGAGGCCCAGAAGAGAGGAUUACUCUAGCUCAGGAGUUUGAGAACAGCCUGGGCAAUGGAGUGAGAUACCUUCUCUAACAAAAUAAAAAAGUGUGAGUUUAGGUGCUGUGUUCCUUGUUGUUGUUACAGUGUGAGCCACCGUGCCCGGCCGAGACUGGGUAAUUUAUGAAGAAAAAGAGGUUUAAUGGACUCACAGUUCCACAUGGCUGGGGAGGCCUCAAAAUCAUGACAGAAGGUGAAGGAGGAGCAAAGGCACAUCUUACAUGGCAGAAGGCAAGAGAGCCUGUCCAGGGGAACAGCUGCCUAUAAAACUGACAGACCUCAUGAGAUUUACUCACUGUCACAAAAACAGCACACACCUAUUAUCCCAGCUACUUGGCCGACUGAGGCAUGAGAAUUACUUGAACAGCACGGGGAAACCCACCCCCAUGAUUCUAUUACCUCCCACCUGGUCUCUCCCUCGACACCAUGGGGAUUAUGGGAGCUACAAUUCAAGAUGACAUUUGGGUGGGGACACAGCCAAACCAUAUCACCUGGCAACUUGCUUGCAGCUCAUAACAUCAACUAUUUCUUUGGGCCUUCAGUCCUGCUGACUUCCGGCCUCCUGAGUCCCUAAGCAGAGGAAUAUGAAUUCAAAUCUUGAUUUUCUCAUUGCAGCUCAUAGUGGGAGAUGCCCAGUCUCUCUGUGAACAUUGACAGCAUUUUUUUUUUUUUUUUUGAGACAGAGUCUCACUCUGUCACCAGGCUGGAGUGCCGUGGCGCAAUAUCAGCUCACUGUAACCUCCACCUCCCAGGUUGAAGUGAUUCUCCCAUCUCAGCCCCCAAGUAGCUGGGACUACAGGUGAGUGCCACCACACCCAGCUAAUUUUUUUAUUUUUAGUAGAGAUGGGGGUUCACCAUGUUGCCCAAAAUGGUCUCAAUCUCUUGGCCUCGUGAUCCAACCAUCUCAGCCUCCCAAAGUGCUGGGUUUAAAGGCAUGAGCCACUGUGCCUGGCCCAGAAUUCUUUACUGCUAACACGAGUGGGCCUGGUUCUGGAGGAUUUCCCAAUGGGUCCUGAAGAACCACAGUUUAUUGGCUUGUGGGCAAAGGGGUAUGUGUAUCAGUUGGCCUUUACUGUGUAAUAAACAGCCACAAAAAUUACUAGCUGAAAACAGCAGCUACUUAAUUAGCAGAAGCCUCUUGAGGAUGGACUUGCAAACCAAAGUUGUGCUGGUUUCUACUGGUCAAAGCAAGGACUGGCUCACAUAAAAAGGAAAGGAGAGAGAUUGCACCUUCAGAGAGUAAUCUCAAGACAUCUGUAAUCUACCACAGGGUGUCACUGGGCCUCUGUCAAGGAGCCUAUUCUUUCUGCCACCAGAUCUGUCUAAUAGCUUGUGUGACAAUGCACUUCCUUCUGGGUCUCUCUCCAAGUGUAGUAAGUGUAUAUGGGAAUCACUUUAUUCAAACAGUGUAGUGCACUUAGUUAGAAAGAAAAGGUAUUAAGGAAGACUUAUAUUUAAAAUUGUUAUUUAUGGUAACAACGAAAAGUAACAUACAAAUUUCAAACAUCAAG
rnacentral:sRNA from 1 species